rnacentral:rRNA from 1 species
UACGAAGGGGGCUAGCGUUGCUCGGAAUGACUGGGCGUAAAGGGCGCGUAGGCGGUUCUGACAGUCAGGCGUGAAAGCCCAGGGCUUAACCCUGGAAUUGCCUUUAAGACUGCAUCGCUAGAAUCGUGGAGAGGUGAGUGGAAUUCCGAGUGUAGAGGUGAAAUUCGUAGAUAUUCGGAAGAACACCAGUGGCGAAGGCGGCGCUCUGGACCGAGACUGACGCUGAGGCGCGAAAGCGUGGGGAGCAAACAGG